rnacentral:rRNA from 1 species
AAAGAGGCAGUUGCAUGGCGAGCCUGUCACAUGCCUGAGGAAGAGGCUUCGGUUGAAACUGUUUUGACGGACAAACGGUCCUUUCUAUAAAGAGGGCUAUGACGGUCCGUAAGAAUAAGCACCGGCUAACUACGUGCCAGCAGCCGCGGUAAUACGUAGGGUGCGAGCGUUAAUCGGAAUUACUGGGCGUAAAGCGUGCGCAGGCGGUUCUAUAAGACAGAUGUGAAAUCCCCGGGCUCAACCUGGGAAUGGCAUUUGUGACUGUAGAGCUAGAGUACGGUAGAGGGGGAUGGAAUUCCGCGUGUAGCAGUGAAGGGGGGUAGAUAUGCGGAGGAACACCGAUGGCGAAGGCAAUCCCCUGGACCUGUACUGACGCUCAUGCACGAAAG